AGCGAACGCUGGCGGCAGGCCUAAAACAUGCAAGUCGAACGCCGUAGCAAUACGGAGUGGCAGACGGGUGAGUAACGCGUGGGAACGUACCCUUUGGUUCGGAACAACACAGGGAAACUUGUGCUAAUACCGGAUAAGCCCUUACGGGGAAAGAUUUAUCGCCAAAGGAUCGGCCCGCGUCUGAUUAGCUUGUUGGUGAGGUAACGGCUCACCAAGGCUACGAUCAGUAGCUGGUCUGAGAGGAUGAUCAGCCACACUGGGACUGAGACACGGCCCAGACUCCUACGGGAGGCAGCAGUUAGGAAUCUUGGACAAUGGGCGCAAGCCUGAUCCAGCCAUGCCGCGUGAGUGAUGAAGGCCUUAGGUUGUAAAGCUCUUUCAGCGGGAAGAUAAUGACGGUACCCGCAGAAGAACGCCCGGCUAACUUCGUGCCAGCAGCCGCAGUAAG
rnacentral:rRNA from 1 species